rnacentral:rRNA from 1 species
GACGAACGCUGGCGGCGUGCCUAAUACAUGCAAGUCGGACGCAGUUGCGAACGGGUUAGUAACGCGUCGGUAACUGCCUAUUAGAGGGGGAUAAUUAUUGUACACGAUAUCUAAUACCUCAUACUUGUAGAUGUACCUUCGUUGUAUUAGCUAGUAGGUAGGGUAAUGGCCUCCCUAGGCAACGAUACAUAGCCCAAGUGAGAGGGUGAUCGGCCAGACUGGGACGGAGACACGGCCCAGACUCAUACGGGGAGCAGCAGUAGGGAAACUGGGGGAAUGGGGGGAAAACUGACCGAGAAAGGGCGAGGGAGUGAAGAAGAUUGUCGGAUCGUAAAGCUCUGUUGUUAAGGAAGCGGUACUUAACCAGAAAGGAACGGCUAACUACGUGCCAGCAGCCGCGGUAAUUC